AGUGGGGAAUAUUGGACAAUGGGCGCAAGCCUGAUCCAGCCAUGCCGCGUGAGUGAUGAAGGCCUUAGGGUUGUAAAGCUCUUUCACCGGAGAAGAUAAUGACGGUAUCCGGAGAAGAAGCCCCGGCUAACUUCGUGCCAGCAGCCGCGGUAAUACGAAGGGGGCUAGCGUUGUUCGGAAUUACUGGGCGUAAAGCGCACGUAGGCGGAUCGAUCAGUCAGGGGUGAAAUCCCGCAGCUCAACUGCGGAACUGCCUUUGAUACUGUCGAUCUAGAGUAUGGAAGAGGUGAGUGGAAUUCCGAGUGUAGAGGUGAAAUUCGUAGAUAUUCGGAGGAACACCAGUGGCGAAGGCGGCUCACUGGUCCAUUACUGACGCUGAGGUGCGAAAGCGUGGGGAGCAAA
rnacentral:rRNA from 1 species